rnacentral:rRNA from 1 species
UAAGGAAUAUUGGACAAUGGAGGCAACUCUGAUCCAGCCAUGCCGCGUGAAGGAAUAAGGCCCUAUGGGUUGUAAACUUCUUUUAGACGGGACAAAACCCCUUUACGUGUAAAGGGUUGAUGGUACUGUCAGAAUAAGCACCGGCUAACUUCGUGCCAGCAGCCGCGGUAAUACGAAGGGUGCAAGCGUUACUCGGAGUUACUGGGCGUAAAGCGUGCGUAGGUGGUUGUUUAAGUCUGAUGUGAAAGCCCUGGGCUCAACCUGGGAAUGGCAUUGGAAACUGGGCAGCUAGAGUGCGGUAGAGGGUAGUGGAAUUCCCGGUGUAGCAGUGAAAUGCGUAGAGAUCGGGAGGAACAUCUGUGGCGAAGGCGACUGCCUGGACCAGCACUGACACUGAGGCACGAAAGCGUGGGGAGCAAACA